rnacentral:tRNA from 1 species
UAGGAUGUGCUGUAAUGGGAGCACAAAAGGUUUUGAGCUCUUUAGUAUGGGUUCAAGUCCUGUUAUCCUAG